rnacentral:rRNA from 1 species
UGGCUCAGGAUGAACGCUAGCUACAGGCUUAACACAUGCAAGUCGAGGGGCAGCAUUUCAGUUUGCUUGCAAACUGGAGAUGGCGACCGGCGCACGGGUGAGUAACACGUAUCCAACCUGCCGAUAACUCGGGGAUAGCCUUUCGAAAGAAAGAUUAAUACCCGAUGGUAUAAUCAGACCGCAUGGUCUUGUUAUUAAAGAAUUUCGGUUAUCGAUGGGGAUGCGUUCCAUUAGGCAGUUGGUGAGGUAACGGCUCACCAAACCUUCGAUGGAUAGGGGUUCUGAGAGGAAGGUCCCCCACAUUGGAACUGAGACACGGUCCAAACUCCUACGGGAGGCAGCAGUGAGGAAUAUUGGUCAAUGGGCGCAGGCCUGAACCAGCCAAGUAGCGUGAAGGAUGACUGCCCUAUGGGUUGUAAACUUCUUUUAUAUGGGAAUAAAGUUUUCCACGUGUGGAAUUUUGUAUGUACCAUAUGAAUAAGGAUCGGCUAACUCCGUGCCAGCAGCCGCGGUAAUACGGAGGAUCCGAGCGUUAUCCGGAUUUAUUGGGUUUAAGGGAGCGUAGGUGGACAGUUAAGUCAGUUGUGAAAGUUUGCGGCUCAACCGUAAAAUUGCAGUUGAUACUGGCUGUCUUGAGUACAGUAGAGGUGGGCGGAAUUCGUGGUGUAGCGGUGAAAUGCUUAGAUAUCACGAAGAACUCCGAUUGCGAAGGCAGCUCACUGGACUGCAACUGACACUGAUGCUCGAAAGUGUGGGUAUCAAACAGGAUUAGAUACCCUGGUAGUCCACACAGUAAACGAUGAAUACUCGCUGUUUGCGAUAUACAGUAAGCGGCCAAGCGAAAGCAUUAAGUAUUCCACCUGGGGAGUACGCCGGCAACGGUGAAACUCAAAGGAAUUGACGGGGGCCCGCACAAGCGGAGGAACAUGUGGUUUAAUUCGAUGAUACGCGAGGAACCUUACCCGGGCUUAAAUUGCAUUUGAAUAUAUUGGAAACAGUAUAGCCGUAAGGCAAAUGUGAAGGUGCUGCAUGGUUGUCGUCAGCUCGUGCCGUGAGGUGUCGGCUUAAGUGCCAUAACGAGCGCAACCCUUAUUGUCAGUUACUAACAGGUUCCGCUGAGGACUCUGACAAGACUGCCAUCGUAAGAUGUGAGGAAGGUGGGGAUGACGUCAAAUCAGCACGGCCCUUACGUCCGGGGCUACACACGUGUUACAAUGGGGGGUACAGAGGGCCGCUACCACGCGAGUGGAUGCCCAUCCA